CAACUUUCAACAACGGAACCUCUUGGUUCUGGCAUCGAUGAAGAACGCAGCGAAAUGCGAUAAGUAGUGUGAAUUGCAGAAUUCAGUGAAUCAUCGAAUCUUUGAACGCACAUUGCGCCCUUUGGUAUUCCAAAGGGCAUGCCUGUUCGAGCGUCAUUU
rnacentral:rRNA from 1 species